rnacentral:rRNA from 1 species
AUACGUAGGUGGCAAGCGUUGUCCGGAAUUAUUGGGCGUAAAGCGCAUGUAGGCGGUUUGGUAAGUCGGUCGUGAAAAUGCGGUGCUUAACGCCGUAUGGCGACCGAAACUGCUGAACUUGAGUGCAGGAGAGGAAAGGGGAACUCCCCGUGUAGCGGUGAAAUGCGUAGAUAUUGGGAAGAACACCGGUGGCGAAGGCGCCUUUCUGGACUGUGUCUGACGCUCAGAUGCGAAAGCCAGGGUAGCGAACGGGAUUAGAUACCCCGGUAGUCCUGGCCGUAAACGAUGGGUACUAGGUGUGGGAGGUAUCGACUCCUUCCGUGCCGGAGUUAACGCAAUAAGUACCCCGCCUGGGGAGUACGGCCGCAAGGCUUAAACUCAAAGGAAUUGGCGGGG